GACGAACGCUGGCGGCGUGCUUAACACAUGCAAGUCGAACGAUGAUGCCUGCAACUUGUUGUGGGUGGAUUAGUGGCGAACGGGUGAGUAAUACGUGAGUAACCUGCCCUCCUUUUUGGGAUAAGCCUUGGAAACGGGGUCUAAUACCGAAUAUUCUGGAUGAUUCGCAUGGAUUGUUUGGGAAAGCUUUUGUGAAGGGGGAUGGGCUCGCGGCCUAUCAGCUUGUUGGUGGGGUGAUGGCCUACCAAGGCGGUGACGGGUAGCCGGCCUGAGAGGGUGACCGGCCACAUUGGGACUGAGAUACGGCCCAGACUCCUACGGGAGGCAGCAGUGGGGGAUAUUGCACAAUGGGCGAAAGCCUGAUGCAGCGACGCCGCGUGGGGGAUGAAGGCUUUCGGGUUGUAAACCUCUUUCGCUAUCGAACAAGGCUCACUUUUUUGGUGGGUUGAGGGUAGGUGGAGAAGAAGCGCCGGCUAACUACGUGCCAGCAGCCGCGGUAAUACGUAGGGCGCGAGCGUUGUCCGGAAUUAUUGGGCGUAAAGGGCUUGUAGGCGGCUUGUUGCGCCUGCUGUGAAAACGCGGGGCUUAACUUCGCGCGUGCAGUGGGUACGGGCAGGCUUGAGUGUGGUAGGGGUGACUGGAAUUCCAGGUGUAGCGGUGAAAUGCGCAGAUAUCUGGAGGAACACCGAUGGCGAAGGCAGGUCACUGGGCCAUUACUGACGCUGAGGAGCGAAAGCAUGGGUAGCGAACAGG
rnacentral:rRNA from 1 species